UCAAGCGACUAAGUGUAUGUGGUGGAUGCCUUGGCGAUUACAGGCGAUGAAGGACGUCGCAGCCUGCGAAAAGCCGUGGGGAGCUGGCAAGCGAGCACUGAUCCACGGAUGUCCGAAUGAGGGAACUCACCCGCAAGGGUAUCUUGAAGUGAAUACAUAGCUUCAAGAGGCGAACGCAGCGAACUGAAACAUCUAAGUAGCUGCAGGAAAAGAAAUCAACCGAGAUUCUGAAAGUAGCGGCGAGCGAAAUUGGAAGAGCCUGCAAGUGAUAUUGAAUUCGAUACUGGAACGGUCUGGAAAGUCCGGCUACAGAGGGUGACAGCCCCGUACGGGAAAUUGGGUUCAAGGUACUGAGCUUGCGAGAAGUAGAGCGGGACACGUGAAAUCCUGCUCGAAGAUGGGGGGACCAUCCUCCAAGGCUAAAUACUCGUAAUCGACCGAUAGCGAACCAGUACUGUGAAGGAAAGGCGAAAAGAACCCCGGGAGGGGAGUGAAAUAGAUCCUGAAACCGCAUACAUACAAACAGUAGGAGCCUCGUUAAGGGGUGACUGCGUACCUUUUGCAUAAUGGGUCAGCGACUUACGUUUAAUGGCGAGCUUAACCGUAUAGGGGAGGCGCAGCGAAAGCGAGUUCGAACAGAGCGUUCAGUCGUUAGGCGUAGACCCGAAACCAGAUGAUCUAUCCAUGGCCAGGUUGAAGGUGUGGUAACACACACUGGAGGACCGAACCGACUAGUGUUGCAAAAUUAGCGGAUGAGCUGUGGAUAGGGGUGAAAGGCUAAACAAAUCUGGAGAUAGCUGGUUCUCCCCGAAAACUAUUGAGGUAGUGCCUCGUGUAUGACUCCAGGGGGUAGAGCACUGUUAUGGCUAGGGGGACAUGGCGUCUUACCAAACCAUGGCAAACUCCGAAUACUUGGAAGUUUGAGCACGGGAGACAGAGCACCGGGUGCUAACGUCCGGACUCAAGAGGGAAACAACCCAGACCGCCGGCUAAGGUCCCUAAUAUUGACUAAGUGGAAAACGAAGUGGAAAGGCUAAGACAGUCAGGAAGUUGGCUUAGAAGCAGCCAUCCUUCAAAGAAAGCGUAAUAGCUCACUGAUCGAGUCUUUCUGCGCGGAAGAUGUAACGGGGCUAAGUCAAUAACCGAAGCCGCGGAUUCACACUUAUGUGUGAGUGGUAGGGGAGCGUUCUGUAAGCCUGCGAAGGUGACUCGUAAGGGUUGCUGGAGGUAUCAGAAGUGCGAAUGCUGACAUGAGUAACGUUAAAGCGGGUGAAAAGCCCGCUCGCCGUAAGCCCAAGGUUUCCUGCUCUACGUUCAUCGGAGCAGGGUGAGUCGGCCCCUAAGGUGAGGCUGAGAAGCGUAACUGAUGGGAACAAGGUUAAUAUUCCUUGACCACCGCUGAAUGCGAAGGGGGGACGGAGUAUUGAAGAUCAUCCGGGUGUUGGAUAUCCCGGUUUGCGAGCGUAGGAGGCUGACAGGCAAAUCCGUCAGCGAAUCUCCGAGGCAAAGCAUCGAGCUCUCUUUUGAGCGAAGUGAUUGGAUGUGCUUCCAGGAAAAGCCUCUAAGCUCCAGUUCAGCGGGACCGUACCGCAAACCGACACUGGUGGGCGAGCUGAAUAUGCUCAGGCGCUUGAGAGAACUCAGGAGAAGGAACUCGGCAAAUUGACACCGUAACUUCGGGAUAAGGUGUGCCUUUGUAGCGUGGAGGGAGAAACACCCCGAGCGCGAAGAGGUCUCAGAUAAUCGGUGGCUGCGACUGUUUAUUAAAAACACAGCACUCUGCAAAGACGAAAGUCGACGUAUAGGGUGUGAUGCCUGCCCGGUGCUGGAAGAUUAAUUGAUGGGGUGCAAGCUCCUGAUCGAAGUCCCAGUAAACGGCGGCCGUAACUAUAACGGUCCUAAGGUAGCGAAAUUCCUUGUC
rnacentral:rRNA from 1 species